rnacentral:rRNA from 1 species
GACGAACGCUGGCGGCGUGCUUAACACAUGCAAGUCGAACGGUGAAGCGCUUGCCUUUUUGGUGGGUGUGGAUGAGUGGCGAACGGGUGAGUAACACGUGAGUAACCUGCCCUCUUCUUCUGGAUAACCUCAUGAAAGUGGGGCUAAUACGGGGUAUUCCGGGUCUGUCGCAUGGCGGGUUUGGGAAAGAUUGCGCCUUUGGGUGUUUUCGGUGGGGGAUGGGCUCGCGGCCUAUCAGCUUGUUGGUGGGGUGAUGGCCUACCAAGGCGGUGACGGGUAGCCGGCCUGAGAGGGUGGACGGCCACACUGGGACUGAGACACGGCCCAGACUCCUGCGGGAGGCAGCAGUGGGGAAUAUUGCACAAUGGGCGCAAGCCUGAUGCAGCGACGCCGCGUGAGGGAUGGAGGCCUUCGGGUUGUGAACCUCUUUCGCCAGUGAAGCAGGCCUGCUCCUGUGUGGGUGGGUUGACGG